AAUUUAAAAUAUGAAAAAUUCAAAUGAAUUUAAAUAUUUCAGUUAUACAUGUACGUAUUUAUUCUGUAGGAACUGCAAGACAACUCACUGGAAGAAAAUCUACGUUUAGCUCAAGAGUAUCAAAAGUUGCAGAUGAUUUUCUUAACAGAAAAGGAUAAUUUCUGCAAAAUGUAUGGCAAACAGCUAUCACUUCAUGCUGCAGUUAGUGAUAAGAGACAGUUCUGUCAGCUGCAAAGAAAUCUACAGGAGCAGUGGCAGGAGCACUUCCGGCUGGUGGUCCUCUUCAGCCAGAUGAAGCUGGCCAAGUUCCAGACAGACUCUCAGGAGACUAUUCAGAAAAUAUUAGCUGUGCAGACAACUAUCAAGAUGUGUAACCUCCCAGCAAUCAAGAAAUAUGAGCGGCCUCCUCCUGUGGAGAUGUACUUUAAUGAUUCAUCAGUGCUGUACUAUAACUCAUUCAUAACAUCCCAAAGCAUUAAGAGCUCCAUCUUCAUUAUUACCAGAUGUCUUACAGGUGCCUAAGUCAACACAUCAAAAUGACUUCCUGCAAGUUUGCAAGACCAAGUGUAACUUCAAGGACACCCACAAAUACAUUUGCUCUAAGAAGUCUGCUGUAAGCUGGUUAGCAAUCCU
rnacentral:lncRNA from 1 species